AACACCCACUUGCCAAGCUCCUGCCCUAGAUCCCGCCAGCCCAGCUCUUCCCUGCUACUAGUGUGCCCCUCAAGCUCUUGCCCUAGAUCCCACCGGCCGCACGCGGCACGCCACAGCCUCUGACUUCACCCUCCUUCAUCCUCCCCUUCUCAGUGGGAGAAGAUCUGAAAUCGCAGCAUCGACCUCCCCUCCUCAGCAGGAGAUGAUCUAAAAUCGACCAUUGUUGCCUCUACCUCCUUCGUUCGUCCCUUCUCAGCUUCUCAGCUUCUCAUUGUUCGUCUCUGAGAGCUUCAGGUUUGUGGGUUGUGGCUUCCGACAUCCUCUCCUCCAUCAUCUUCUAUUCAGACUUUGGCGACUCUGCUUUGUCUCUCAGUGUCUGUGCGCCUCCAAAUCGGUCGAUCAUGGCCUCCCUCCUCAACUCCAUUGCUCGGAUUCUGAGCUUCAUUGAAGCCUUCCGGCACAUCUCCAGUCGAAAGGGGUAACUUCAAGUCCUCUUCCCUAUCUUUCAACUCCACCGCUUCUGUUGCCCCUUCAUUUGGUUUUCAACCAUCGUCGCCUUCUUCUGAAGUACAAGAACCUGAAGCUAAACAACUAGAUUCCUCGUAAAUUUGAUUUGGCAUGUAAAAGCAUCAUUAAGAAAAUUCAGCCCGAACCUUGUCCCUUUCUGUUGUUUUGCACUGCACUGCACAAAUACCUCUCCGGUUAGAAAAUGUGUCUUCUCAUGGUGAAAUCAUAGGUGAUGCUCAAGUCGGGGAUGAUGGGGCUACUCAAACAACAAAGCCUUCAAUGCCGGUUGCAAGUGGGACUACAAAAAGAAAAAGCAUGAAGCCAAAUUAUAUAAGAAUUUGGGGAUAAGGAUUGUAUGGAAUUUGUUGUAAUUUUGUUAGUUUGUUUGGAUGUUAAUUAAGUUUGGAUUGAUGCAGGAAA